AAAUUGAAGAGUUUGAUCAUGGCUCAGAUUGAACGCUGGCGGCAGGCCUAACACAUGCAAGUCGAACGGUAGCACAGAGAGCUUGCUCUCGGGUGACGAGUGGCGGACGGGUGAGUAAUGUCUGGGAAACUGCCUGAUGGAGGGGGAUAACUACUGGAAACGGUGGCUAAUACCGCAUAACGUCGCGAGACCAAAGAGGGGGACCUUCGGGCCUCUUGCCAUCAGAUGUGCCCAGAUGGGAU
rnacentral:rRNA from 1 species